CUUGAGAGUACUGGUUGGAGUCCCAUCUGUUCCACUCCCUGAUAAUGUGUCUGGAAAAGCAGCAGAAGGUGGUCCUAGUGCUUGGGGUCCUGUACCCUUUUAGAAGACCUGAACUGAUUCUUGACUCCUGACUUUAGCUUGGCCCAGCCUGGCCCACUGCAGCCAUUUGGCAAGGGGCUGCCCACCUCCUCCAGCCUGGCCUUCCCCGCACACUGUCCUGGCUUUCACCCCACAGCUACCACAUCCUCAGUCGACACUUAAUCGCUUCCGCUCCUCACACCCGGCCUGCUCUCCUUCACCCUGCCACUUGGUCACCGCCCUGGAAUGCAUGUGGAGAGGAAUCCAGAGGCAGGAAGAAGUCAGCUCAGAUUCAGAGGUCAUAUGCUGUGUACCUGGCACCAUGCUGAACUCCAACUUUUUGUGGGGGGAUAGAGUCCUUCAUUCUGUAUAUUUUUAAUUUAGUGAAAUAACACAAAAUGGAUCAUUUGGACCAAUGUAUUUACAUUAUUGUGAGAC